AUGAAGAUGAGUCUUUUGUUCUUGAGGAUCCUACAUUGUUAAACAUUGAUACUAUUGAUUCUCACUCCUAUGAUACUUCAUCUGUGGCAAGCUCAGAUAGUGGUGACAGGACCAACUUAAAAAGGAAGAAGAAAUUACCUGAUUCUUUUUCACUUCAUGGAUCAGUUAUGCGCCAUUCACUUUUGAAGGGAAUUUCUGCCCAGAUAGUGUCUGCAGCUGACAAAGUAGAUGCUGGCUUGCCUACAGCAAUUGCAGUGUCCAGUCUGAUAGCAGUGGGUACAUCUCAUGGAUUGGCUUUAAUAUUUGAUCAGAAUCAAGCUUUGCGACUCUGUCUGGGUAGCACUAGUGUUGGAGGUCAGUAUGGCGCUAUCUCUGCCCUCAGUAUCAACAAUGAUUGCUCAAGACUUCUUUGUGGCUUUGCUAAAGGACAGGUAAGAUAUGAACCUCCUUUAAUUCAUAAGACAAUGUUAAAACAAGAUGAAUUUAAAUAAACAUAUCUUAGAUCAAAGACCAAAAUAUGUGUUAUGAAGUAAUAUGUUUGUAGAGCUAAGCAGAGAUUACUGAAUCUGAGUUUUGUCUUG
rnacentral:sRNA from 1 species